rnacentral:rRNA from 1 species
GCAAAUCAAUAUAAAUUGAUUUAAUAUUUAUUUAUUAAUUUUUUUUUUUUUAUUUAUAAAUUAUUAAAAAUAAUUAUAUAAUUUAAUGUUUUAGUAAUGUUUAAUGAAAAAAUAAUUUUAAUAAUAGUGUAUUAUGUAUUGUGAAAGAUUAUUGAAAUAUUUUGAAAAAUUUUUAUUAUAAAAGAAAAUUUUAUUUAUUGUACCUUGUGUAUCAGGGUUUAUCAAAUAAUUAAUAAUUAUUUAUUAAUCUCGAUUUUAUAAGAGUUAACAAUUUAAAAAAGAUAAUGUGUCAAAAUUAUUUUUAAUAAAUUGUUAGAAAUGAAAUGUUAUUCGUUUAUAAAGGUAUCUAGUUUUUUUAGAAAUAAAUUUAAUUUACAAAUUUUUAAUUUUUUAUUUAUUUAUUAAAAUAAAAAAAUUAUUAAUUUGAAUAUCUUAAGGGAUAAGCUUUAAGAUAAAUUUUUAAAAAUUAAUAAUUAUUAUAUAAAAUGUAUGUGUAGAAUUAGCAAUCAUUUAUAAGUUUGUUAUAAAUUAUUUUAUAAUUUGUAUUAUUUAUUAAUAUUUUAAGUUUUUAUAAAAAUUUUUUUAUUAAUUUUAUAUAAAAAGUAAUAAUGAUAAAAUUAGUAUAUUUUUUUUUGUUUAAAUAAAUUUUAAUGAUAAGUUUAUGUAAAGAACUCGGCAAAUAUUAUACUCGCCUGUUUAACAAAAACAUGUCUUUUUGAGUUAUUUUUAAAGUCUGACCUGCCCACUGAAAUUUUUUAAAUGGCAGCAGUAUUCUAACUGUGCAAAGGUAGCAUAANCAUUAGUCUUUUAAUUGAAGGCUGGUAUGAAUGGUUGGACGAAGUAUAAUCUGUUUCAUUUAAAUUUAUAAUAGAAUUUUAUAUUUUAGUAAAAAAGCUAAAAUUUUAUUAAAAGACGAGAAGACCCUAUAAAUCUUUAUAUUUAUUGUUAUUUAAAUUUUUUAGAUUAUUUUUAUUUUUAUAAUAAUAAAUAUUUUGUUGGGGUGAUGUUAAAAUUUAAUAAACUUUUAAUAAUUAAAAGUCAUUAAUUUAUGAUUUAUUGAUCCGUUAAUAACGAUUAUAAGAUUAAGUUACUUUAGGGAUAACAGCGUAAUUUUUUUGGAGAGUUCUUAUCGAUAAAAAAGUUUGCGACCUCGAUGUUGGAUUAAGAGAUAUUUUUAGGUGUAGCNGCUUAAAUAUAAAGUCUGUUCGACUUU